GACGAACGCUGGCGGCGUGCUUAACACAUGCAAGUCGAACGGAAAGGCCUCUGCUUGCAGGGGUGCUCGAGUGGCGAACGGGUGAGUAACACGUGGGUGAUCUGCCUUGUACUCUGGGAUAAGCUUGGGAAACUGGGUCUAAUACCGGAUAGGAACUGCCUUUAGUGUGGUGGUUGGAAAGUUUUUUCGGUGCAAGAUGAGCUCGCGGCCUAUCAGCUUGUUGGUGGGGUAAUGGCCUACCAAGGCGUCGACGGGUAGCCGGCCUGAGAGGGUGUACGGCCACAUUGGGACUGAGAUACGGCCCAGACUCCUACGGGAGGCAGCAGUGGGGAAUAUUGCACAAUGGGCGGAAGCCUGAUGCAGCGACGCCGCGUGGGGGAUGACGGCCUUCGGGUUGUAAACUCCUUUCGACAGGGACGAAGCUUUUUGUGACGGUACCUGUAUAAGAAGCACCGGCUAACUACGUGCCAGCAGCCGCGGUAAUACGUAGGGUGCGAGCGUUGUCCGGAAUUACUGGGCGUAAAGAGCUCGUAGUGGUUUGUCGCGUCGUCUGUGAAUUCCGGGGCUUAACUCCGGGCGUGCAGGCGAUACGGGCAUAACUUGAGUGCUGUAGGGGAGACUGGAAUUCCUGGUGUAGCGGUGAAAUGCGCAGAUAUCAGGAGGAACACCGAUGGCGAAGGCAGGUCUCUGGGCAGUUACUGACGCUGAGGAGCGAAAGCAUGGGUAGCGAACAGGAUUAGAUACCCUGGUAGUCCAUGCCGUAAACGGUGGGCGCUAGGUGUAGGGGGCUUCCACGUCUUCUGUGCCGUAGCUAACGCAUUAAGCGCCCCGCCUGGGGAGUACGGCCGCAAGGCUAAAACUCAAAGGAAUUGACGGGGGCCCGCACAAGCGGCGGAGCAUGUGGAUUAAUUCGAUGCAACGCGAAGAACCUUACCUGGGCUUGACAUACACCAGAUCGCUGCAGAGAUGUAGUUUCCCUUGUGGUUGGUGUACAGGUGGUGCAUGGUUGUCGUCAGCUCGUGUCGUGAGAUGUUGGGUUAAGUCCCGCAACGAGCGCAACCCUCGUUCUAUGUUGCCAGCACGUGAUGGUGGGAACUCAUAGGAGACUGCCGGGGUCAACUCGGAGGAAGGUGGGGAUGACGUCAAAUCAUCAUGCCCUUUAUGUCUUGGGCUUCACGCAUGCUACAAUGGCUGGUACAGAGAGAGGCGAACCCGUGAGGGUAAGCGAAUCCCUUAAAGCCAGUCUCAGUUCGGAUCGUAGUCUGCAAUUCGACUACGUGAAGUCGGAGUCGCUAGUAAUCGCAGAUCAGCAACGCUGCGGUGAAUACGUUCCCGGGCCU
rnacentral:rRNA from 1 species